UACGAAGGGGGCUAGCGUUGUUCGGAGUUACUGGGCGUAAAGCGUGCGUAGGCGGUGUCUUAAGUUUGUUGUGAAAUCUCCCGGCUUAACCGGGAGGGUGCGGCGAAUACUGAGAUGCUGGAGUGCCGGAGAGGUAAGCGGAAUUCCUGGUGUAGCGGUGAAAUGCGUAGAUAUCAGGAGGAACACCUGCGGUGUAGACGGCUUACUGGACGGUAACUGACGCUGAGGCACGAAAGCGUGGGUAGCAAACAGG
rnacentral:rRNA from 1 species